GGCAUGUGAUAUCGAGAAGUCACCAGCCACCAGCACUCUUCCUGUCCUCUGGCUCUGCAUCUUACAUUCCUUACACUCUAGCUUCCAUGACGUUCCAGUGCUUGCUGAGCUUUGAGGAAAGGGACACAUGUGGAGAGAGAAAGUUACAAAGGAAGUGAAGAGAUGACAGUGUGAAGUGCCAUGUCAGGAGCUGGACAGGCUCAGGGCUUCAGGACAGCCAGAGCCACAGGCACAGCUUAUGCUUGGAAGCCUCAUGUUCGUAGUGGAGAACAGAUCUCUGAGCACACUAGCUGGCCAGGGAGACACCUGCCUUCUCCAUGAUAGACAGCUUUCCAGAAAGCCACACAAACGCAAAAGU
rnacentral:lncRNA from 1 species